GGUAGGGACAAACGUACCUUUCUGCAGAUGCUCUAUGAUCCGGGCAAUCUCAUUUGGUCGUAAUUUGAAGAAAAUCUAGCGGCUAUAGGCCUUAUUCUCCUUGUUUUCGCCAGAUGGCAUGCUGUAACUCAUGCGCGUGAAAGCCAAGAACAAAAGGGCAUUCCUGGCAUCGGUCAAUAUAUAUGUGGAAACGAUAUCUCCACUAUAGAGGACAAGAAAUUUUGGGGCUGUCAAGCAAAAGGUGCACGAGAAAAUGAAGUACUUUCAAGGACUGCCAUAGAAUGGAGAGAUGUUCACUAAAACGGUCAUAAUUUUGUCAUUCGGAGUCCGUGUCGGACCCACAAGUACUCAAACUGCUCGCGGCGAGCACGCGAAUCCAGAAAAUACUGCCCGCUUGCGCCAGGAGGCCCAGAGUACCCUCAAAUACGGCCUUAAUCAGGACUUUUUGGCCCUGAAAGUCAAAGAACAUCAUUCGUCGCUGUUUUCCAAACAAUUUUCUGAACCCAUUGGCACUUGCUUUUGAAGGAAAUUCGAGAGAUUAUGUUUCUUAUAGACAUUACCCCCCCCCCCCGGUAGGGACAAACGUACCUUUCUGCAGAUGCUCUAUGAUCCGGGCAAUCUCAUUUGGCCGUAAAUUGAAGAAAAUCAAGCGGCUAUAUGCCUUAUUCUCCUUAUUUUCGCCGGAUGGCAUGCUGUAACUCACGCUCAUGAAAGCCAUGAACAAAAGGGCAUUCCUGGCAUCGCUCAAUAUAUAUGUGGAAACGAUAUCUCCUCUAUAGAGAAGAAGAAAUUUUGGGGCAGUCAGGCAAAAAGCGCACGAGAAAAUGUAGUACUUUCAAGGACUGCCAUAGAAUGGAGAGAUGUUCACUAAAACGGUCAUAAUUUUGUCAUUUGGAGUCCGUGUCAGACCCACAAGUACUCACACUGCUCGUGGUGAGCACGCUAAUCCAGAAAUUACUUGCCGCUUGCGCCAGGAGGCCCGGAGUACCCUCAAAUUCAGCCUUAAGCAGGACUUUUUGGCCCUGAAAGUCAAAGAACACCAUUCGUCGCUGUUUUUUAGACAAGUUUCCGAACCCAUUGGCACUUGCUUUUGAAGGAAAUUUGAGAGAUUAUGUUUCUUAUAGACAUUAGCCCCCCUGGUAGGGACAAACGUACCUUUCUGCAGAUGCUCUAUGAUCCGGGCAAUCUCAUUUGGUCGUAAAUUGAAGAAAAUCUAGCGGCUAUAUGCCUUAUUCUCCUUGUUUUCGCCGGAUGGCAUGCUGUAACUCAUGCGCGUGAAAGCCAAGAACAAAAGGGCAUUCCUGGCAUCGGUCAAUAUAUAUGUGGAAACGAUAUCUCCACUAUAGAGGACAAGAAAUUUUGGGGCAGUCAGGCAAAAAGCGCACGAGAAAAUGAAGUACUUUCAAGGACUGCCAUAGAAUGGAGAGAUGUUCACCAAAACGGUCAUAAUUUUGUCAUUCGGAGUCCGUGUCGGACCCACAAGUACUCAAAC
rnacentral:lncRNA from 1 species